rnacentral:rRNA from 1 species
UAACAGGAUUCCCCUAGUAACUGCGAGUGAAGCGGGAAAAGCUCAAAUUUAAAAUCUGGCAGUUUCACUGUCCGAGUUGUAAUCUGGAGAAGCAUUUUCCGUGUCAGACCGUGUACAAGUCUCUUGGAACAGAGCGUCAUAGAGGGUGAGAAUCCCGUCCAUGACACGGACUACUGAUGCUUUGUGAUAUGCUCUCGAAGAGUCGAGUUGUUUGGGAAUGCAGCUCAAAAUCGGGUGGUAAAUUCCAUCUAAAGCUAAAUAUUGGCGAGAGACCGAUAGCGAACAAGUACCGUGAGGGAAAGAUGAAAAGCACUUUGGAAAGAGAGUUAAACAGUACGUGAAAUUGUUGAAAGGGAAACGCUUGAAGUCAGUCGCGUUGUCUGAGACUCAGCCUUGCUUGCAUGGUGUACUUCUCAGUUAACGGGUCAACAUCAAUUUCAGUUGGUGGAUAAAGGCAUUGGGAAUGUGGCACCUUCGGGUGUGUUAUAGCCCUUUGUUGCAUACACUGACCGGGAUUGAGGAACGCAGCACGCCACUAAGGCCAGGGGUUCGCCCCAUGUAACGUGCUUAGGAUGUUGGCAUAAUGGCUUUAAGCGACCCGUCUUGAAACACGGACCAAGGAGUCUAACAUGCCUGCGAGUAUUAGGGUGGAAAACCCUUGUGCGUAAUGAAAGUGAAAGUUGGGACCUCUUGCGAGGGCACCGACGCCCGGCCCUGAAGUUUACGGACGGUGCUGCGGUAGAGCAUGUAUGUUGGGACCCGAAAGAUGGUGAACUAUGCCUGAAUAGGGUGAAGCCAGGGGAAACUCUGGUGGAGGCUCGUAGCGAUUCUGACGUGCAAAUCGAUCGUCAAAUUUGGG